rnacentral:rRNA from 1 species
AGAGUUUGAUCAUGGCUCAGGAUGAACGCUAGCGGCAGGCUUAAUACAUGCAAGUCGAACGGCAGCACGAGUAGCGAUACUUGGUGGCGAGUGGCGCACGGGUGCGUAACGCGUAUGCAAUCUACCUUUAACUGGAGAAUAGCCCGAAGAAAUUCGGAUUAAUACUCCAUAGUUUUAUGAAGUAGCAUUACUUUAUAAAUAAAGCUACGGCGGUUAAAGAUGAGCAUGCGUGACAUUAGCUAGUUGGUGAGGUAAUGGCUCACCAAGGCUACGAUGUCUAGGGGUACUGAGAGGUUUAACCCCCACACUGGUACUGAGACACGGACCAGACUCCUACGGGAGGCAGCAGUAAGGAAUAUUGGUCAAUGGACGCAAGUCUGAACCAGCCAUGCCGCGUGCAGGAUGAAGGCCCUAUGGGUUGUAAACUGCUUUUGUACGGGAAAAAACCCUUCUACGUGUAGAAGGCUGAUGGUACCGUAAGAAUAAGGAUCGGCUAACUCCGUGCCAGCAGCCGCGGUAAUACGGAGGAUCCAAGCGUUAUCCGGAUUCAUUGGGUUUAAAGGGUGCGUAGGCGGGAUAGUAAGUCAGUGGUGAAAGCCUGCAGCUUAACUGCAGAACUGCCAUUGAUACUGCUAACCUAGAGUACAGCUGAUGUGGGCGGAAUGUGUCGUGUAGCGGUGAAAUGCUUAGAUAUGACACAGAACACCGAUUGCGAAGGCAGCUCACAAAACUGUAACUGACGCUGAGGCACGAAAGUGUGGGGAUCGAACAGGAUUAGAUACCCUGGUAGUCCACACUGU